UUUUUUUUUUUUUUUUUUUUUUUAAGGGCCACAACCCCAGGCAUGUGGAAGUUUCUAGGGCAGGGAUUGAAUACAAGCUACAACUCUGAGCUAUGCCACAGCUGCAGCAAUGCCAGAUCUUUUCUUUUUUUUUCUUUGUCUUUUCAGGGCCCACCCUCGGCAUAUGGACGUUUUCAGGCUAGGUGUUGAAUCAGAGCUGCAGCUGCCAGCCUGUACCACAGCUCAUGGCAAAGCGGGAUCCUUAACCCACUGAGCAAGGCCAGGGAUCCAACCUGCAUCCUCAUGGAUGCUAGUUAGAUUUGUUUCCACUGAGCCGGGAAGGGAACUCUGCUGGAUCCUUUUAACCCAUUGAGCCUGGCUGGGGAUUGAACUGGAGCUUUGGAUUCUUAACCCACUCUGCCACAAGGGAAUUCCCUAUUGCUUUUUCAUCUCCACUUUGGCAUCAGAGGCAGUUCAGUAGAAGAAAGGGACUUGUAUCUCAAUCUUAUUUAAAUUAUAUUUUAGGAGUUCCCGUCAUGGCGCAGUGGUUAACGAAUCCGACUAGGAACCAUGAAAUUGCAGGUUGGAUCCCUGCCCUUGCUCAGUGGGUUGGGGAUCCGGCGUGCCGUGGGCUGUGGUGUAGGUUGCAGACGCGGCUCAGAUCCUGCAUUGCUGUGGCUCUGGUUUAGGCCAGCGGCUACAGCUCCGAUUCAACCCCUAGCCUGGGAACCUCCAUAUGCUGCGGGAGCGGCCCAAGAAAAGGCAAAAAGACAAAAAAAUAAAUAAAUAAAUAAAUUAUAUUUUAAGGAGUUCUCAUUGUGGCUCAGCAGUAAUGAACCCAACUAGUAUCCAUGAGGACAUGGGUUCAAUCCCUGGCCUCGCUCAGUGGGUUAAAGGAUCCGACAUUGCUGUGGUGUAGGUCACAGAUGCAGGCUCAGAUCCUGUGUUGCUGUGGCUGUGGUGCACACCGGCAGCUGUUGCUCGGAUUCGACCCCUAGCCUGUGAUAUAGCCAGCGGGCUUUGUUGAGCAAGCAUGGAGGCAGGCAUUCUGGCAGGAGGUUGUUCCAGCCUGGAGGUGCUGAAGCACCACCAGUGGUCUUGCAGGGCAGGGAAGGAGGCAGGGGGAUCUCUCCAGGCAGGAUCAAUCAACUCAGGAAGGGAGCCCUUCUGAUUCAAGGAAAUUUCCCCUCAAACCAACACCACAGUGUAACAGCUCUGGCCUGGGCUCUGUUAAUGAGCCAUUCCGCGCUCCUGCUGGUUGCUUCCAGAGGUCACAAUCAAGAGUCAGGUAGCAGUGUACAGCAAGCUUUAUUCAUGCCCGUAGAGUGCAGGCUGUCCUGGGUAGGGACUGGUGCUGGCUGCAGCUGGAUCUCUCCUUAUAUUCCUAUAUCACAGACCUGUUUGGGGACCCCUAUUCUCUUGCCCCAUGCCCACUAAUUUCCUGUCCCACCCCCACCACCACCUUGCUUGCUUAGGGGGUACAUUUGGAUCCUCUGGUUGGUUUCCAUGAGGAUGCCUUAUUUGCACAGAAAAAAAGGUUAUAGGUAGAUGCUCUGAAAAGCAUUCCUCUGGUAUCUGUAUGGGUCUUCAUUGUUUGAUUGCAGGUGUCCUGUUUUUGAUAACAAUAAAUGGCCUGUUGGGAGUCACCUGGGUCAGAGUCCCUAUCCUCUCCUACCUAACAUUUGGAUGUUUUUAAUAUCCCCACCUCACAUUCAGCAAAACGAACAGAUCAGUGGUUAUGUAUUUCUGUCCCUUUUCUCUUUUGCUGUUACUAAACCCUGGGUUUCUCACUCAUGUUUCUUAAUGAAUUUAUUUUUUAAUUUUCAUAUGGCAGAUCAAAUGUGAUUUGAUAUUUAAGUUGGGAAGAAACUGGCUUAGUGGAAAUAUAGUUGAGUUCUAAGUUUACUUUGUCAUUAAUUGAGUAUCCUUUAAGAAGCCAUCCAACCUUCCUGUUUUCCAGUUUGUAAAGUAAUCUUGGACUAGAUCAUGGGUAACCUUCAAUAGUAGUUCUAAAACUAGUUGUAGUCUUGAAGCAGAUUGGGUUUGUAUUUGGUUUUUAGUGUCUCCAAAUAUGAGUAGGGUAGUGGUAGAUAGAUGUUUAACGGUAGCUAGAGGAGGCAUGUGCAUUUUUCUCUGUGAACAAAACAUUUUAAGCUGUGCCUUUCUGUAGUGUGAUUCUCUACUGAUACUCUGGAAAAAAAAAUGGAACAAUAUAGAAAGCCAAACCAAAUUAAACUCCUCACCCCCUAACUAUUAUUCUAAUGUAUCUGGGUUUUUAAUUAAAAAAUUCAGGUAUAGUUGACUUACGCAAUUGGAUUAUUUUAGGUGUACAGCAAAAGGAAUCUGUUAUACAUGUAAAUACAUCCAUUCUUUUUCAGAUUCUUUUCCCAUGUAAGUUCUUAAGGAGUAUUUAGUAGAUUUCCCUUUGGUAUGUAGUAGGUCCUUGUUACUUAUCUACUUUAUAUAUGUAGUGUGAUAUGUUAAUUGCAACUUCCUAAUUUAUCCCUCCCCCCUCAUAGUUUCUCCUUUGAUUUCAAAUCUUGGAGGAGACUUUUUUUUUGGCCAUGCCCUGAGCAUGUGGAAGUUCCCAGACUAGGAACUGAACCAGAGCCACAGCAGUGAGAAUGUUCUAGCCUUAACCUGCUGAGCCACCAGGGAACUCUUGGUUUGAAAUAUUUGAGUCUGUUUCUGUUUUAUAAAUCAUAUUUUAUUAGAUUCCACAUAUUAAUGAUCUCAUAUAAUAUUUGUGUUUGUCUUCACUUAGUAUGAUAAUCUCUAGGUAUAUCCAUGUAGCUGUAAAUGACAUAAUCUUGUUCUUUUUAAUGGCUGAGUGAUAUUCCAUUGUAUAUAUGUACAUCUUCUUUAUCCAUUCCUCUGUUGAUGGGCAUUUGGGUUGCUUCCAUGUCUUAGCUACUGUGCUAAUAUAUCUAUUAAUACUUAUACAGUAAUAUUUCUCAGUACCCCUUAAACAAUUUAGCAUACUUUCAGUGUAAGCUUAAAAUCUUAUUAUAUAACUACAGAAUUCUUUAGGUUUAAAAACACCUUAUACAUGAGCAACAUUGUUAUAGUUGAACUUUGGAAGUGAGUUAUUUGAUUAGGUAGGGUAGUCAGGAAUUGAAUUUUGGUUCAUUAUUAUUGUGUUUGCAAUUUUUGUAUCAGUUUAAGUGAAUAUUAGUAUAAUAUAGAGUGAAAACACUUGGAUGGUACUUAUUUCAGCAAAUGCAAACUGUUCUAUCAUAUUUUUCACAAAUCGUGACACAGAGAGUAGGUAAUUUGAGGUCUCUAAAUAUUCCAUACUCAACUCCAGGGUAUUCAUAGACUUUGAUUUUUUUGUACAACUAGUAUUCUCCCUUCAUGUUCUCUACCAUUUAGAAAAAUUAAAUAGUUAAAGUCCUUCAGGAUUUUUUUUUUUUUUUUUGUCUUUUUGUCUUCUUAGGCCACACCCGCAGGCUAGGGGUCUAAUCAGAGCUGUUGCUGCCACGCUAAGCCAAAGCCACAGCAACGCCAGAUCUGAGCCACAUCUUCGACCUACGCUAUAGCCCACGGCAACACCGGAUCCCCAAACCAAUGAUUGAAGCCAGGGAUGGAACCCACAUCCUCAUGGUUCCUAGUCAGAUUUGUUUCUGCUGCACCAUGAGGGAAACUCCCUUCAGGAUUUUUCUAAACGUGCCUUUUCAUACAAAAUCAGGUCUUAGUAAUUUUUGCUAUCAUUUCAGAGUUUUAUAGCUUAUUGAAAAGCUUACGUACUCCUUUGACUUUAGUUCUGUUGACAAGGAGAAUUAAAAUAGAAAUCUUGUUUCCGUGGGUUAACAUUAGUUUGUGAGAAAAUAAAUUAAAAUGUAUUUAUAUAUAUAUAUAUAUAUAUAUGUAUAAACAUUUAAAGAUAACAUUUGUUAACCUUUUAAACUAAUGCUUUAAGAGAAACUGGCCACACAAGGUCAUAAUUUUCCUGUCUUAUGGAUGGAGAGGACUAAUGAAACCAUAUGCUGAGCUAACCACAGUGGAGACGAAUGAUGAUUUUCAAAAUUAAAGUACUUUUAAUAGCGCUUACAUAUUUGUUCUUAGUUUUCUGUAGGUAAAGAUUUUUUUUGUCAUCUUUUUAGGGCCACAGUUGCGUCAUAUGAAAGUUCUCAGACUAGGGGUCAAAUCUGAGCUGUAGCUGCUGGCCUACAACACAACCAUAGCCACAACCAUACCAAAUCUGAGUGGCAUCUGCGACCUACAUUGCACCUUGUGACAACACCAGAUCCUUAACAGACUGAGCAAGUCCAGAGAUAGAAUACCCAUCCUCAAGGGUGCUAGUCAGAUUCAUUACCGUUAAGCCUCAACAGGAACUCCCAAGAUAGUAUUUUAUAACUUGAAUGUUAUUUCAAAUAACAAUAGCACCUCAGUUUCUCAGUGUACUUGGGGAAUGAAGUGCUCAUAUUUUUAUGUAACUAAUGUUUGAAUCAAGCUUAAAAUUCUACCAGCUGCAGUACUCUACUCAGCAUUUAUUGUGCAAUGCAAUCUUCUGUGUAACUGAAGCUAAUAAUGUAAGCAUUCAAAUUUAAACCAUAAUAGACAAUGUUUUAAACAUUUUGGAUUAAUUUUUUUAAAAGGACUAUACAUUUCCUAUCUUAUUUUAAAAGACUCUACAUGGUAUAAUAUAAUCCUUAUUGACGAUUAUACUCUUGAUCUGUAUCUAUGACUGUGCUCUGGGUGGUGGCUGCCCUUGAGACUGUUUAGGUACCGAGAGCUGUUUGCUACAGGGCCCCAGAUGAUGGCAGUGUUUGGAGUUCUUGGUCUGCUUUUGCAUUUGCUGUCUCUUCCUACCAAGGUAGCUGUUAUUUCUUACAGCUCUGCCUAUUUCUAUCAGCUCUUUUCUUUGUACUUCCCAUUGUGACUUGCUCAUUUUAAUGGGUGUGAACUAGGAAAGCAGAUAAGUAAAUUUAUCAUGUGUUAAAAAAAAAAAAAAAA
rnacentral:lncRNA from 1 species